rnacentral:rRNA from 1 species
AUUGAACGCUGGCGGCAUGCUUUACACAUGCAAGUCGAACGGCAGCACGGGUGCUUGCACCUGGUGGCGAGUGGCGAACGGGUGAGUAAUGCAUCGGAACGUGCCCAUGAGUGGGGGAUAGCCCGGCGAAAGCCGGAUUAAUACCGCAUACGCCCUUAGGGGGAAAGGCGGGGGAGUCUUCGGACCUCGCGCUAUUGGAGCGGCCGAUGUCGGAUUAGCUAGUAGGUGAGGUAAAGGCGUCACCUAGGCGACGAUCCGUAGCUGGUCUGAGAGGAUGAUCAGCCACACUGGGACUGAGACACGGCCCAGACUCCUACGGGAGGCAGCAGUGGGGAAUUUUGGACAAUGGGCGCAAGCCUGAUCCAGCCAUGCCGCGUGAGUGAAGAAGGCC